CUCCUGGAAACGGGUGGUAAUGCCGGAUGUUCCAGUUGAUCGCAUGGUCUUCUGGGAAAGCUUUCGCGGUAUGGGAUGGGGUCGCGUCCUAUCAGCUUGACGGCGGGGUAACGGCCCACCGUGGCUUCGACGGGUAGCCGGCCUGAGAGGGCGACCGGCCACAUUGGGACUGAGAUACGGCCCAGACUCCUACGGGAGGCAGCAGUGGGGAAUAUUGCACAAUGGGCGCAAGCCUGAUGCAGCGACGCCGUGUGAGGGAUGGAGGCCUUCGGGUUGUAAACCUCUUUUAUCGGGGAGCAAGCGUGAGUGAGUUUACCCGUUGAAUAAGCACCGGCUAACUACGUGCCAGCAGCCGCGGUAAUACGUAGGGUGCAAGCGUUAUCCGGAAUUAUUGGGCGUAAAGGGCUCGUAGGCGGUUCGUCGCGUCCGGUGUGAAAGUCCAUCGCUUAACGGUGGAUCCGCGCCGGGUACGGGCGGGCUUGAGUGCGGUAGGGGAGACUGGAAUUCCCGGUGUAACGGUGGAAUGUGUAGAUAUCGGGAAGAACACC
rnacentral:rRNA from 1 species